GAUCAUGGCUCAGGAUGAACGCUAGCUACAGGCUUAACACAUGCAAGUCGAGGGGCAGCAUGACGGAAGCUUGCUUUCGUUGAUGGCGACCGGCGCACGGGUGAGUAACGCGUAUCCAACCUGCCCUUGUCCAUCGGAUAACCCGUCGAAAGGCGGACUAACACGAUAUGCAGUUCUCAGCAGGCAUCUAACGAGAACGAAAUGUGAAGGAGAAGGAUGGGAUGCG
rnacentral:rRNA from 1 species